GAGUUGGAUUUAGACUGGCUGCUAGUCUUAUUGUUGUUGAGAAGCCUUGCUACAACUAAUUUUCUAAAGGACCUUUCAGAAUGGCACCUUGCUUAACUGAGUGGUUGUGCUGACUGAAUUUUUCCAUUGCUGAAGAAUCCAUCAGAGCCUCUGGGCAGCUCCUGGAUCCUGCUCCUGUUCUGACCUGAGCCAGAAGAUGAGAGCAAGCUGUACAGACAGAUGCAAAAGGCCCUGUGAUUGAUGGCAGGUAGCAUGGGGCUGUUUGCUGAUGGAGUCCUUAAAUAGAACACCAGACAACUUUGGAUAUACCUGACAUUGGGAGCUCUAAAGUACCUGAGUGUGUGCAGCACAUGAAUUGCUCUGGUUGCUCAGAUUUUCUCCUGCAUUUACUCCUUCCACACGUCGGGAGUCAUGAUGUGAAAGAAAAGCUACAAGAAAUGGAACGAAGUAAUAGGGGAAUAAUGGCUCACUAUUGCUGUGGCUUCAUUAAUUCAAGUGGUAAAAGCUUGCACUAAGAUGCACCUAAAGCUCUCACUGCCCACUGGAUCGCUCUGUUUUGCACCACAGUGAGAGAACGAUGGGCAGGGCAAGCACAGCCCAAGUGAUAGCAGUUCUUCGGCCUCGUGGCUGAAGUCCGUCAACCACAGCCUCACUGAUGGUUCCAGUAAGCCUUUUGUUGUCGGCGUGCAUAUCUUCUGGUGUAAUUGUCAUGCUUUUAGCUUAAAACAGUAUCAAACAAGAAGAUAAUCUUUUGUCGAUGCUCUUGGUUCAAUAUUACUAAUGUCAGAGAUGUCACUUUGCUGUAGUGUGUUGUCUGAUAGCUGUUAUAGGCUUCAAUAUUGUAAUGAAAGUGUUCUGAUCUUGGUUUACAUGUGCUGAGAAAACAUUUCUGGUAAUGCUUUGUGAAAUUUCAAAGCUUUUACUGAUCAGAAGGAUAUAAUACCUUUGGGAAAUGAAAUAUUUAAGCACAAAUAUUAUCACUAUUUAUAAAAUACUUUAUAAAACAGUUACUUUAGAAAUUACCACGACUCUUAUAUUCCAGCUGGUGCUGCAGAAGCUCCUGUUCAACACUGUCUUGCACCAUCAGCUAGCAAAAGAGUUUGAGGUGUACUUAUGCUGUAACCAGCCAAAAACGAUCUGUGGGCCCAGGAUGUCCAUCUUGUAACCACAUUUCCCCUCCCAAAUAUAUUUGUGCACAGCAUUAUGUUCAGAGUAUUGCAGAAAAGUUAAUUGUUAAGAAAACUCUGUGCGAGCAAUUUUCUCGGCAAAUAUUUUGUGAAAAAGUAUAGGAUCAGGUCAAAUAGUAUUUCAAGAAUUACAACCCAAAAGCUGAGGAGCUGAGACUGAGACCCAAACCUUGUCAGCCUAUGAGGGUUCUUGUAACGUAGCCCAAAUUUUAAAGCAAGAAAGCUUAAGCUAAUCUUAAAGAAGCCAUACUAUUAAAAGCAGUGAGUUAAAAGAAAAGCUCUAGCACUGCCUCGCUCUAUAAAUGCUAGUUCUUCAAAUUUUUAUUCCUGAAGAUCGUAUUCAGAUAAUAAUUCAUAUAGCUGUGCAGACUUGCCCUGCUUACUUGGGGUUUUCUUUGAAGUUUUGGAAAGCGCUGAUGAGUGUGCUUCAAUGAUUUUUUACUUGCCCUGCCCAGGGCAGCAAACAAACUGCGGCAGGUUUAAUCGGAACUAAACCUUGUCUG
ensembl:lncRNA